ACGAGUCCAGUAUUGGCUCUCAUGUCAUGGAGUAUGGUGACAAGACAUUCAAGGGUGACAUGCUUUUCCUCUAUCAAGGUUUCGAUCCUGCAAAGUCAUACUCCAGUUAUUUCAGGCAGCGUUUGCCCAGCCUCAAGGGUGCAAUCAAUCAAAGAGAUGCCGACAUUCUUUUCAUGUGGAAGAAGGUAAAGUUCCAGUUAUUUCAGCUUAAGCUCGUAUUUCUUGUCAAUUUUUGUGGCCCGUGCUUUGUUUUUCCAAAUUUGUCUGCUAACUAAUGAUGUAUCUUCUCGCUUUCAGUAUGAGCAGUUAAAUGGUGGAUCAGAGGAGAAGCAGAGGGCUCUCACGGAGAUCAAAGAAACUGUGCUACACAGGAAGCAUCUCGACAGCAGUAUCGAUUUCAUCGGGAAGCUUGUCUUUGGAUUCGAAAAGGGUCCUUCAGUGCUUGACGCUGCUAGAGGCUCUGGCCAGCCAUUGGUCGACGAUUGGGAUUGUCUGAAGACGAUGGUGAGUGUAACAUUUCCAUAUUUAAAAUCACAUAAAUAUGCAACACCCUGGACUCUUUCUGCUUCCGGUUGAACUUACUCUGUAGUCUGUACUGAUGCCAACUGCCAGGUGCGAAUUUUCGAGUCUCAGUGCGGAUCACUCACUCAGUAUGGCAUGAAGCACAUGAGGGCGU
rnacentral:lncRNA from 1 species